rnacentral:tRNA from 1 species
ACUUAAAUAGUUUAAUAUAAAACAUUGAUUUGUGAUAUCAAAAAUAUGAGUCAUCAUUUUAGGUC